CUUCAUCCCACCCCGGGCAGCAGAUGAGCGCUGGCGAAUGUUCUCAGCCACCUGGAGGAGGAGGUUCAGCGCGGAAGAAAUGUUACCAGAUUUCGCCGAUCUGGUGCCUGGACUUUUUUGGUAAUCUCAGAGAUUGGGUGUGCAGAAGGGCGGUUGGAGUUCUGGGAAGGAACGACUGGUAACUUUAAGGGUAUAUAUGACAAAAACACCCACAACAAUGGGGUAACGAACAUAAAGCUCGCCGGUGACAAAGUGAUAGUCGCACGGUUGAGUGGACGAAUCGAUUCUCUGAGACUGGAAACGUACACGCAAGGUUGUCAGAUCGAUUGGGGAUUUACGUCUGCAUAUGGGCGAACUCACGUACGCACCGGUUCGGCAGGAAGCAUUAGUUUAUUUCAGCAAUCCGUCCACAACGUUGCCAGCUCAAUAUAACGCAUCCGAGGAGGAGCUUCGAUGUAUCUUGGAGUUUCACCAGCAGGGUCACCGGUGACAUGUUUGGAGGUGGCGGGCGGUACAGU